rnacentral:rRNA from 1 species
UACGAAGGGGGCUAGCGUUGUUCGGAAUUACUGGGCGUAAAGGGUCUGUAGGUGGCUUACUAAGUCAGACGUGAAAUCCCUCAGCUUAACUGGGGAACUGCGUCUGAUACUGGAAAGCUUGAGUGCAGGAGAGGAACGCGGAAUUCCAGGUGUAGCGGUGAAAUGCGUAGAUAUCUGGAGGAACACCGGUGGCGAAGGCGGCGUUCUGGACUGCAACUGACACUGAGAGACGAAAGCCAGGGGAGCAAACGGG